CAAGUUCGAGCGAGAACCAGUCCUUCGGGACUGGGGACAGCGGCGAACGGGUGAGUAACACGUGAGUAAUCCACCCUCGAUACCGGAAUAGCCCGGGGAAACCAGGAUUAAUGCCGGAUGGCCCAACAGCUCUUCGGGGCGGUUGGAAAAGGUAGCUUUGGCCUCCGAUCGGGGACGAGCUCGCGGCGGAUUAGCUUGUUGGUGGGGUAAAGGCCUACCAAGGCGACGAUCCGUAGCUGGUCUGAGAGGACGAUCAGCCACACUGGGACUGAGACACGGCCCAGACUCCUACGGGAGGCAGCAGUGGGGAAUCUUGCGCAAUGGGCGAAAGCCUGACGCAGCGACGCCGCGUGAGGGAAGAAGGCUUUCGGGUUGUAAACCUCUUUCAGGAGGGACGAAGCUACUCGGGUUAAUAGCCCAGAGGGUGACGGUACCUUCAGAAGAAGCCCCGGCUAACUACGUGCCAGCAGCCGCGGUAAUACGUAGGGGGCAAGCGUUGUCCGGAUUUAUUGGGCGUAAAGAGCGUGUAGGCGGCCAUGCAGGUCCGUUGUGAAAACUCGAGGCUCAACCUCGAGACGCCGAUGGAAACCGCAUGGCUAGAGUCCGGAAGAGGAGAGUGGAAUUCCUGGUGUAGCGGUGAAAUGCGCAGAUAUCAGGAAGAACACCCGUGGCUAAGGCGGCUCUCUAGUACGGUACUGACGCUGAGACGCGAAAGCGUGGGGAGCGAACAGGAUUAGAUACCCUGGUAGUCCACGCCGUAAACGAUGGGUGCUAGU
rnacentral:rRNA from 1 species